UCAAACAUAUGACUGUCAGAGUGUGCUACCUUUGACUACUUCUUGGUAGAGGUGGUCACAUCCUGUGUUCAGGAUGAUGCCACAUUUAAACCCAAGAUAAUUUUUCAACCAAUGAAACAGAUCUCCUCUAUAAUCUAUAAAAUACAGUUGUUUCUCUGUAUCCAUGGGGUACUGAUUCAAGAAAUGCCCAUGGAUGCCCAAACUGCAACAACUCUGGUCUCUUGUUAGAAAGGUUUACUGUUUGCAUAUAACUAGACCUGUCCUCCUGCAUGACUCAUCUAUACAGCACCAGGAAAGACUCACAGAAGGCUUAGUGCUCUGCAAAUGGCUGCUACACUGUACUGUUGGAAGCUAACAAGGAGAACAGGUCUACAUGUGUUCAACGAAGAUAAUGUCCCGACACUGUGGCUUCGUUGGAGGUCUCUUCUCCUGGGUCUGGGAUUUUUCAUUUAGCCUCACUAUGGAGUGGCCUGCCCUUGCAACUAUGAAUACCAAUCAGUAAGUAGUAAAGGCAUCUAAGCAAAACCUCAACUCUAGCCCACAUUCCAGACUUGGGGAAAUCAGAUUGCAAAUGGCUUAUGAGUGUUUGACUAGCUCUGAUGAGGUCAUACAUGCCUCAGCUGCUUCCUUUUCCCACAGCAACCUUUGGUUUACAUUAAAACAGGACUUUGGUGAGCAUGUGAUGUCAAGACACCUUCUUUCUACCUGAGAGACAAUGACAUGUGACACUGAGGAGGAAAGUGUGUAGCUCAAGACCAGCAGACAAAUGAAAGCUUGUUAUCUCAUGUAGUGUGCAGAUGGACAGAGCAAGGCGGAGAAGCAGAUGAACUUCUGGUGUCUGUAGGCAGGCUUUACCUGCGUUAGUCUCCACGUACUUAGAGAGUCUGAUAUUGGGAUGAGUCUGCCUUUCCACUGAAUUUUCCUAAAAGACUUGCAUAGUUGAAGGCUGAAGAAUGGGCGCAGAGGCUGAGGGGAGUUACUCUUCAUCAAUGUCAGUGCGGGCACGGGCAAAGACUACAACACAUCCUUCUACAAAGACUGUUGCCAUUAGAAACAUGGAUAUAUUUUAUUGUAAGUCAAAUCAUUUAUUGUGAAUAUUCACUGGAUUCUACAAGAGUUCUGAUAAUCCCUGAACCCAAUGUGGUAAGAGCACAGAGGCUCACAAGCGACUCGAGGAGAGAAAUUCUAGGCUAUUCCCCAGGAAACACUGGACUUAUUCCUUGCCAUCUUCCAUGUAAACAGAUGGUUUAGUUAUUAAAAAAGAAUACACAGGA
rnacentral:lncRNA from 1 species